rnacentral:rRNA from 1 species
UACAGAGGUCCCGAGCGUUGUUCGGAUUCACUGGGCGUAAAGGGUGCGUAGGUGGCGAGGUAAGUCGGAUGUGAAAUCUCCAAGCUCAACUUGGAAAUGGCAUUGGAAACUACCUUGCUAGAGGUUUGGAGGGGGGACUGGAAUUCUCGGUGUAGCAGUGAAAUGCGUAGAUAUCGAGAGGAACACCAGUGGCGAAGGCGAGUCCCUGGACAACACCUGACACUGAGGCACGAAAGCUAGGGGAGCAAACAGG